rnacentral:rRNA from 1 species
GAUGAACGCUGACAGAAUGCUUAACACAUGCAAGUCAACUUGAAUUUGGGUUUUUAACUUAGGUUUGGGUGGCGGACGGGUGAGUAACGCGUAAAGAACUUGCCUCCCAGCUAGGGACAACAUUUGGAAACGAAUGCUAAUACCUAAUAUUAUGAUAAUAGGGCAUCCUAUAAUUAUGAAAGCUAUAAGCGCUGUGAGAGAGCUUUGCGUCCCAUUAGCUAGUUGGAGAGGUAACGGCUCACCAAGGCGAUGAUGGGUAGCCGGCCUGAGAGGGUGAUCGGCCACAAGGGGACUGAGACACGGCCCUUACUCCUACGGGAGGCAGCAGUGGGGAAUAUUGGACAAUGGACCGAGAGUCUGAUCCAGCAAUUCUGUGUGCACGAUGAAGUUUUUCGGAAUGUAAAGUGCUUUCAGUUGGGAAGAAACAAAUGACGGUACCAACAGAAGAAGUGACGGCUAAAUACGUG